AGUGAACGCUGGCGGUAGGCCUAACACAUGCAAGUCGAACGGCAGCACAGUAAGAGCUUGCUCUUACGGGUGGCGAGUGGCGGACGGGUGAGGAAUACAUCGGAAUCUACUUUUUCGUGGGGGAUAACGUAGGGAAACUUACGCUAAUACCGCAUACGACCUACGGGUGAAAGCAGGGGAUCUUCGGACCUUGCGCUAUUGAAUGAGCCGAUGUCGGAUUAGCUAGUUGGCGGGGUAAAGGCCCACCAAGGCGACGAUCCGUAGCUGGUCUGAGAGGAUGAUCCGCCACACUGGAACUGAGACACGGUCCAGACUCCUACGGGAGGCAGCAGUGGGGAAUAUUGGACAAUGGGCGAAAGCCUGAUCCAGCCAUACCGCGUGGGUGAAGAAGGCCUUCGGGUUGUAAAGCCCUUUUGUUGGGAAAGAAAAGCAGCAGGUUAAUCCCCCGCUGUUCUGACGGUACCCAAAGAAUAAGCACCGGCUAACUUCGUG
rnacentral:rRNA from 1 species